CGAUUCCAACUCAUUGUGGGGUUUUGGAAUUUGUUGCUGAUGAGGGCCUAAUAUAUUUACCAUACUGGAUGAUGCAAAACAUGCUUCUUCAAGAGGGGGACAUAUGUCAAGUGAAAAACAAAAGUCUCGUAAAGGGAACAUGGGUGAAGUUGCAGCCCCACACCAAGGACUUUCUUGAUAUCUCAAACCCCAAGGCCAUUUUGGAAACUACAUUGAGGAGCUAUUCAUGUUUAAGUUCAUUAU